rnacentral:sRNA from 1 species
CCUCUUCUCUCUCUCUCUCUCUCUCUCUCUUCUCUCAGUCGGAAGCAGAGGAGCCAAA